CUUAGAAGCAGCCAUUCAUUUAAAGAGUGCGUAAUAGCUCACUGGUCGAGUGAUGUUGCGCCGAAGAUUUAACGGGGCUAAGCAUAUAACCGAAGCUUGGGCAGCGACACGAAGAGUGUUGACUGGGUAGGGGAGCGUUCUGUACGGGGUGAAGCGUGAGCGGAAGCACACGUGGACUGUACAGAAGUGAGAAUGCCGGAAUGAGUAGCGAGAAUUGCGUGAGAAUCGUAAUGGCCGAAAGUCUAAGGUUUCCGGGGGAAGGUUCGUCCGCCCCGGGUUAGCCGGGAGCUAAGGCGAGGCCGAAAGGCGUAGUCGAUGCACAUACGGUUGAUAUUCCGUAGCCGCCGAUGAUUUAAGCACACUGACACAUCGUUAAGGUCUGUCCCCGGGGUUGGUAGGCCGGGGCGCAAGGGACUGAAAUUAGAGUAGGGAAGCAGGCUAAGACGGUGGCGAGAAAAGGUGUGAGGUAUAUCAAAGGCGCCCGUACCGCAAACCGACACAGGUAGAUGAGGAGAGGAUCCUAAGGCCAGCGGGAGAAGGGUUGUUAAGGAACUCGGCAAAUUGACCCCGUAACUUCGGGAGAAGGGGUGCCUGCGAAAGCAGGUCGCAGUGAAUAGGCCCAGGCGACUGUUUAACAAAAACACAGGUCUCUGCGAAACCGAAAGGUGAAGUAUAGGGGCUGACGCCUGCCCGGUGCCGGAAGGUCAAGGGGAUUGCUUAGCCGCAAGGCGAAGGCAUGAACUUAAGCCCCGGUAAACGGCGGCCGUAACUAUAACGGUCCUAAGGUAGCGAAAUUCCUUGUCAGGUAAGUUCUGACCCGCACGAAUGGCGUAACGAUCUGGGCACUGUCUCAACAACCCGCCCGGCGAAAUUGUAGUACCGGUGAAGAUGCCGGUUACCCGCGACUAGACGGAAAGACCCCAUGGAGCUUUACUGUAGCUUGAUACUGGGACUCGGUUCAUUAUGUACAGGAUAGGUGGGAGACUGGGAAGUAUGGUCGUCAGGCCAUAUGGAGUCGCCCUUGGGAUACCACUCUUAAUGAAUCGGGUUUCUAACCUGCGGCCGUAAGCCGGUCGGGGGACAAUGUCAGGUGGGCAGUUUGACUGGGGCGGUCGCCUCCAAAAGAGUAACGGAGGCGCUCAAAGGUUGGCUCAGCGCGUAUGGAAAUCGCGCAUAGAGUGUAAACGCAAAAGCCAGCCUAACUGUGAGACACACAAGUCGAACAGUAACGAAAGUUGGAGUUAGUGAUCAGGUGGUAGUGAGUGGAAAUGCCAUCGCUUAACGGAUAAAAGCUACCCUGGGGAUAACAGGCUGAUCUCCCCCAAGCGUCCACAGCGACGGGGAGGUUUGGCACCUCGAUGUCGGCUCAUCACAUCCUGGGGCUUGGAGAAGGUCCCAAGGGUUCGGCGGUCCGCCGAUUAAAGUGGUACGCGAGCUGGGUUCAGAACGUCGUGAGACAGUUCGGUCCCUAUCUGUCGUGGGCGUUGGAUAUUUGAGAGGGUCUGUCCUUAGUACGAGAGGACCGGGAUGGACGUACCUCCGGUGCACCGGUUGUUCCGCCAGGAGCACAGCCGGGUAGCCGCGUACGGUUGCGAUAAACGCUGAAAGCAUCUAAGCGUGAAGCGUGCCUCAAGAUUAGAUAUCCCACAGCUUAAAGCUGGUAAGGUCGCUUGUAGACUACAAGUUUGAUAGGUCGGAGGUGGAAGCUCAGUAAUGUUGUGCAGCUUACCGAUACUAAUUGACCGAGGGCUUGAACU
rnacentral:rRNA from 1 species